UACGUAGGGCGCAAGCGUUGUCCGGAAUUAUUGGGCGUAAAGAGCUCGUAGGCGGUUUGUCGCGUCUGUCGUGAAAGCUUGGGGCUUAACCCCAAGUCUGCGGUGGAUACGGGCAGACUAGAGGCAGGUAGGGGAGACUGGGAUUCCUGGUGUAGCGGUGAAAUGCGCAGAUAUCAGGAGGAACACCGGUGGCGAAGGCGGGUCUCUGGGCCGAUACUGACGCUGAGGAGCGAAAGCGUGGGGAGCGAACAGG
rnacentral:rRNA from 1 species